rnacentral:lncRNA from 1 species
AUAAGAGAUCUUGUUAAAGAAGAAGAGCCAAGCUGCUUAUGCCAAAGAUAAGUUAUUUGCACAAAUAGUGCUGGGUUGAAUCUCAAUGUGAAGAAAAAGCCUUUGGUACACAGAAAUGAGAAUGGUACCUUCUAGAAAAACGCGUCGUGGAAGAGAUUAGGUGCAUAUUGCACCAAUUCACUUUUUAGAGUUCCAAGAAGUGAUUCGGAAUAAAUGGUUCUCAUUUGUCAAAUGUAUGAGGCUCUGCACCCAUACCCUGUAGUAACAAGGUUAAACUGUGGAAUGAGCAGGUUUGUAGUAGUGUAUUUACUAUAUAUUCAAAGAAAUUGGGUACUGAUGACUUACCUUAAUAAAGAAGUGGCACAUCUUAAUCUUUCAUGCAUGUAAUGUUACUGAAGUUUCUGAUCUUAAUGUCUUAAGUAGAAUAUUGCUCAGAUACUAUUACCAAGUCUAAAAUGGCAUUUGUUUUCUUCUUGCAGCAUAAUAAAAAGACUGAAGCAGAAGAGGAGUCUCCUUACACGGAGAUGUCACCUAAAAACAAGUUGAUUGUUUUCAGCCCAAAAAAUGCUGUGGCAAAGCCAUCAUAUUGCACACAACCAGGCAGUCCUGAAUCCACAGUCAAGUUUGAAAGCAAGAAAAACGGAUACCCUUAUGGACUUUGGAUGUUAUGUGAAAUGAAGACUGGACAAGAUUUCAUACAGGUGGGAAUUUUAAUCUAAACUUGUUACAGUGAGUGUUUUGCAUUUGUAUUUUUUUUCAUCCUCUUGGUCCUUGAAUAAAAAUAAAUUUGAAACUGGGUGUUUUGAGUGGUUUUGUCAAAACUGUGAAGUUCCUUCAGACACGGUUCAUACAAAGACCAACUUUUCAGACAAAAAUGAAAUUCAACAGCCAUGAAAUGGAUGCAGGUA